rnacentral:rRNA from 1 species
CACGUAGGGUGCGAGCGUUGUCCGGAAUUAUUGGGCGUAAAGAGCUCGUAGGCGGUGUGUCGCGUCGGCCGUGAAAACCCGACGGCUCAACUGUGGGCGGGCAGCUGAUACGGGCAGGCUGGAGUUCGGUAGGGGAGACUGGAAUUCCUGGUGUAGCGGUGAAAUGCGCAGAUAUCAGGAGGAACACCGGUGGCGAAGGCGGUUCUCUGGGCAUUACCUGACGCUGAGGAGCGAAAGUGUGGGGAGCGAACAGG